CGUGCUGUGCUCUACACUUUUUAGGUCCAAGGUCCCGGCGAGCGAGGAGGUCUCGAGCGGCGGCGGCGGAGAUGAGGGCGGUGAGCGGCGCGGUGGUCUCGUCGAAGCCGGUGGGCUUACGCAAGGCCGCGCGCGUGUUCAGCCGCUUCGCGGCCAGAGACGCGUCGGCGCUGCCCGCCGGCGCGGGCGCGCUGGUCCUCUGCGCGGCCGAGGCCGCCGCCGAGCUCCACGCCUUCCGCUGCGCCCGCGUGGGUCCCGACGGCGAGGCUGAGGCGGAGGUGGCGCCGGGUGGCCAGGAGCGGCGCAAGAAGAGGAGGAAGACGGGGCGCGAAGGAUAGCCCCUGGCUCCACCUUAGCAUCUCCAGCAGUGAGAAGAUCGUCGGGAGGAAGGGCAUCAGCAGGCGAUGUAGCAGACACGAAGGAUGCCGCCGGCACGGACCUGGAGGUGGCCGGCGGUGGAGGUGGUCUUCUGAUCCCCUUAAGCACCCUUUCAGGAUCGGCUGUUAGGAGUAACCGGGUGCUAACCCGUACGUGUGUUACCCCCAAGGGGUACGACCUCCUCAUUUUGUAAGUGGUGCGAAGGGGACAGGGACCAAAACCAAAAGUUGGGUCAAUGCCCCCGAUCAGGGCAUGUACUGGGGAUGCAAAUCCUCCCCUUCUUUGUCUCAGUUUGUUAUAACCGUAGAUCAAUUCCAACAUUCUCCCC